rnacentral:rRNA from 1 species
GACGUAGGGCGCGAGCGUUGUCCGGAUUUAUUGGGCGUAAAGAGCUCGUAGGCGGCUUGUUGCGUCGACUGUGAAAACCCGCGGCUUAACUGCGGGCUUGCAGUUGAUACGGGCAGACUAGAGGUAUGCAGGGGAGAACGGAAUUCCUGGUGUAGCGGUGAAAUGCGCAGAUAUCAGGAGGAACACCGGUGGCGAAGGCGGUUCUCUGGGCAUUACUUGACGCUGAGGAGCGAAAGUGUGGGGAGCGAACAGG